rnacentral:rRNA from 2 species
AACGCGAAGAACCUUACCAGGGCUUGACAUCCUCUGUAAAAUGCAGAAAUGCAUUCCCCAUGGCAACAUGGCAGGGUGACAGGUGCUGCAUGGCUGUCGUCAGCUCGUGUCGUGAGAUGUUGGGUUAAGUCCCGCAACGAGCGCAACCCUCGUCGAGUGUUGCCAUCAUUUAGUUGGGCACUCACUCGAGACCGCCGUUGAUAAGACGGAGGAAGGUGGGGAUGACGUCAAGUCCGCAUGGCCCUUACGUCCUGGGCUACACACGUGCUACAAUGGCCGGUACAACGGGCAGCUAGUCCGCGAGGACAAGCUAAUCCCUUAAAACCGGUCUCAGUUCGGAUUGAAGGCUGCAACUCGCCUUCAUGAAGUCGGAAUCGCUAGUAACUGCAGAUCAGCUACGCUGCGGUGAAUACGUUCCCGGGCCUUGUA